rnacentral:rRNA from 1 species
CCUACGGGUGGCAGCAGUGGGGAAUAUUGCGCAAUGGGGGGAACCCUGACGCAGCCAUGCCGCGUGAAUGAAGAAGGCCUUCGGGUUGUAAAGUUCUUUCGGUAUUGAGGAAGGUUGGUGUGUUAAUAGCACAUCAAAUUGACGUUAAAUACAGAAGAAGCACCGGCUAACUCCGUGCCAGCAGCCGCGGUAAUACGGAGGGUGCGAGCGUUAAUCGGAAUAACUGGGCGUAAAGGGCACGCAGGCGGACUUUUAAGUGAGGUGUGAAAUCCCCGGGCUUAACCUGGGAAUUGCAUUUCAGACUGGGAGUCUAGAGUACUUUAGGGAGGGGUAGAAUUCCACGUGUAGCGGUGAAAUGCGUAGAGAUGUGGAGGAAUACCGAAGGCGAAGGCAGCCCCUUGGGAAUGUACUGACGCUCAUGUGCGAAAGCGUGGGGAGCAAACAGGAUUAGAUACCCGAGUAGUC